GAUGAACGCUGGCGGCGUGCUUAACACAUGCAAGUCGAACGAGGUCCAACCUUCGGGUGAAGACCUAGUGGCGAACGGGUGAGUAACACGUGGGGAACCUGCCCUUCUCUCUGGGAUAACGUCGAGAAAUCGGUGCUAAUACCGGAUACUCCUUGCGGAUCGCAUGGUCUGCUCGGGAAAGCUCCGGCGGAGAUGGAUGGCCCCGCGGCCCAUUAGCUAGGUGGUGAGGUAACGGCCCACCAAGGCGACGAUGGGUAGCCGAGCUGAGAGGCUGAUCGGGCACACUGGGACUGAGAUACGGCCCAGACUCCUACGGGAGGCAGCAGUGGGGAAUAUUGCACAAUGGACGAAAGUCUGAUGCAGCGACGCCGCGUGAGGGAUGAAGGCCUUCGGGUUGUAAACCUUUUUCGCUUUUGACCAAGGCAGCAUUUUGGUGUUGUUGAGGGUAUGAGGUAAAGAAGCUCCGGCUAACUACGUGCCAGCCGCCGCAGUAA
rnacentral:rRNA from 1 species